rfam:Stomoxys calcitrans breed 8C7A2A5H3J4 unplaced genomic scaffold Scaffold184, whole genome shotgun sequence.
UAUCUAUGAUGAUAUCCAUAAGGUUUCGCAUUUGUCUGAAUAUAUUCCCAAUGAUGAUAAACCUUGGCUGUCUGAAGUA